GCAAACUUGGUCAUUUAGAGGAAGUAAAAGUCGUAACAAGGUUUCCGUAGGUGAACCUGCGGAAGGAUCAUUAUUGAAUAAACUUGGUUGGGUUGUUGCUGGCUCUUAGGAGCAUGUGCACGCCUACUCCAUUUUUAACCACCUGUGCACCUUGUAUAGAUCUGAAUAGCCCUUGAAUUGCUUUGUGAAAACGUAGCUCUUCUAGUGUUCAUUCAGGUUUAUAUUUUACUACACCCCAUACGAAUGUAUUUGAAUGUAUUUAACAGGCCAUCGUGCCUCUAAACAUAAAUACAACUUUCAACAACGGAUCUCUUGGCUCUCGCAUCGAUGAAGAACGCAGC
rnacentral:misc_RNA from 1 species